rnacentral:rRNA from 1 species
CCUACGGGAGGCAGCAGUGGGGAAUUUUGGACAAUGGGCGAAAGCCUGAUCCAGCAAUGCCGCGUGUGGGAAGAAGGCCUUCGGGUUGUAAACCACUUUUGUACGGAACGAAACGGUUCGCUUUAAUACAGUGGGCUAAUGACGGUACCGUAAGAAUAAGCACCGGCUAACUACGUGCCAGCAGCCGCGGUAAUACGUAGGGUGCGAGCGUUAAUCGGAAUUACUGGGCGUAAAGCGUGCGCAGGCGGUUAUAUAAGACAGUUGUGAAAUCCCCGGGCUCAACCUGGGAAUUGCAUCUGUGACUGUAUAGCUAGAGUACGGUAGAGGGGGAUGGAAUUCCGCGUGUAGCAGUGAAAUGCGUAGAUAUGCGGAGGAACACCGAUGGCGAAGGCAAUCCCCUGGACCUGUACUGACGCUCAUGCACGAAAGCGUGGGGAGCAAACAGGAUUAGAUACCCUGGUAGUCCACGCCCUAAACGAUGUCAACUGGUUGUUGGGUGCAUUAGUACUCAGUAACGAAGCUAACGCGUGAAGUUGACCGCCUGGGGAGUACGGCCGCAAGGUUGAACUCAAAGGAAUUGACGGCUGAGAGNGCGAGACGACGACGAGGGAGAGG